AGGUCCCUGCAGUACGCGUGAUGGUCGGAGGCUCGUUUGAGCCAUUGUUGAAUCGAAGCGGAUCGCGACGCGUCGCUGUGAGCACGCCUCCGUGCGAGGAAGCCUGAGAGGCGGCGUUUGAUGAGAGCGGUUCCACCUGCACCCGCAGGUUCAUACGACCUCCCCACACGGUAAUCGCGGGGUUUUU
rnacentral:other from 1 species